rnacentral:rRNA from 1 species
GGAGGAUCCGAGCGUUAUCCGGAUUUAUUGGGUUUAAAGGGAGCGUAGAUGGAUGUUUAAGUCAGUUGUGAAAGUUUGCGGCUCAACCGUAAAAUUGCAGUUGAUACUGGAUAUCUUGAGUGCAGUUGAGGCAGGCGGAAUUCGUGGUGUAGCGGUGAAAUGCUUAGAUAUCACGAAGAACUCCGAUUGCGAAGGCAGCCUGCUAAGCUGCAACUGACAUUGAGGCUCGAAAGUGUGGGUAUCAAACAGGAUUAGAUACCCUGGUAGUCCACACGGUAAACGAUGAAUACUCGCUGUUUGCGAUAUACUGCAAGCGGCCAAGCGAAAGCGUUAAGUAUUCCACCUGGGGAGUACGCCGGCAACGGUGAAACUCAAAGGAAUUGACGGGGGCCCGCACAAGCGGAGGAACAUGUGGUUUAAUUCGAUGAUACGCGAGGAACCUUACCCGGGCUUAAAUUGCAGAUGAAUUACGGUGAAAGCCGUAAGCCGCAAGGCAUCUGUGAAGGUGCUGCAUGGUUGUCGUCAGCUCGUGCCGUGAGGUGUCGGCUUAAGUGCCAUAACGAGCGCAACCCUUGUUGUCAGUUACUAACAGGUUCCGCUGAGGACUCUGACAAGACUGCCAUCGUAAGAUGUGAGGAAGGUGGGGAUGACGUCAAAUCAGCACGGCCCUUACGUCCGGGGCUACACACGUGUUACAAUGGGGGGUACAGAGGGCCGCUACCACGCGAGUGGAUGCCAAUCCCAAAAACCUCUCUCAGUUCGGACUGGAGUCUGCAACCCGACUCCACGAAGCUGGAUUCGCUAGUAAUCGCGCAUCAGCCACGGCGCGGUGAAUACGUUCCCGGGCCUUGUACACACCGCCCGU